rnacentral:rRNA from 1 species
GAUGAACGCUGGCGGCGUGCCUAAUACAUGCAAGUCGAGCGAACGGACGAGAAGCUUGCUUCUCUGAUGUUAGCGGCGGACGGGUAAGUAACACGUGGAUAACCUACCUAUAAGACUGGGAUAACUUCGGGAAACCGGAGCUAAUACCGGAUAAUAUUUUGAACCGCAUGGUUCAAAAGUGAAAGACGGUCUUGCUGUCACUUAUAGAUGUAUCCGCGCUGCAUUAGCUAGUUGGUAAGGUAACGGCUUACCAAGGCAACGAUGCAUAGCCGACCUGAGAGGGUGAUCGGCCACACUGGAACUGAGACACGGUCCAGACUCCUACGGGAGGCAGCAGUAGGGAAUCUUCCGCAAUGGGCGAAAGCCUGACGGAGCAACGCCGCGUGAGUGAUGAAGGUCUUCGGAUCGUAAAACUCUGUUAUUAGGGAAGAACAUAUGUGUAAGUAACUGUGCACAUCUUGACGGUACCUAAUCAGAAAGCCACGGCUAACUACGUG